rnacentral:rRNA from 1 species
GAAUAUUAGUCAAUGCUCGAAAGAGUGAACUAGCUAACUGAAAUCAAUUAUAAAAAUUGAUAACAUAAGGGAAAAUAAUGAUAUUACCUUAUUAUUAGUGUCGUCCAAAACUGGUGCCAGAAGACUCGGUAAGGCCAGAGACACAAACGUUAAUCGUCUUAAUCAGGCGUAAAGGGUUUGUAGGCGGCUUUAAAAUUUACUUAUAAAAAUAAAUAAUAAGUAAAGAAUAAAAGCUAGAAUCAAAUAGAGGAUAUAUUAAAUAAUGCUUAGAGUAGGUCUGAUAUCCUUAGAUACUAAGUAGAAUAUUAAAAGCGAAAGCUUUUUUCCAUUAAUGAUUGACGCUCAGAAACGAAGGUGAGGAUAGGAAAUAGGAUUAGAUACCCAAAUACCCCUCUCUGUCAACGAUGAAUGGUAGUUAUUAGUAAAAAUUUUAUUAAUGGCAAUGUUAACACGAUAACCAUUCCGCCUUGUGAGUACAACUGCAAAGUUGAAAACAAAAAAAUUAGUCGGUUUCGGAGCAAACGAAGUGAAGCAUGUUAUUUAAUUC